AGCGAACGCUGGCGGCAGGCCUAACACAUGCAAGUCGAACGAACUCUUCGGAGUUAGUGGCGGACGGGUGAGUAACACGUGGGAACGUGCCUUUAGGUUCGGAAUAACUCAGGGAAAAUUGUGCUAAUACCGAAUGUGUCCUUCGGGGGAAAGAUUUAUCGCCUUUAGAGCGGCCCGCGUCUGAUUAGCUAGUUGGUGAGGUAAAGGCUCACCAAGGCGACGAUCAGUAGCUGGUCUGAGAGGAUGAUCAGCCACAUUGGGACUGAGACACGGCCCAAACUCCUACGGGAGGCAGCAGUGGGGAAUCUUGCGCAAUGGGCGAAAGCCUGACGCAGCCAUGCCGCGUGAAUGAUGAAGGUCUUAGGAUUGUAAAAUUCUUUCACCGGGGACGGUAAUGACGGUACCCGGAGAAGAAGCCCCGGCUAACUUCGUGCCAGCAGCCGCGGUAA
rnacentral:rRNA from 1 species